AACAGAGCGAGGCCAGAGACAAACGUGCUCAUAAACGGGAGUAAUAUGGAAUAAUGUGUGCAUCUUUGAAUAACUAAUCCUCUCUGCCUCCGUUGCUAUGGAAUCUGAGCCAGUCCUCUUUGCUAUUGGGUGAUUUCUUCUUCGGUACUCGUAAUUGACAGGGAUUCUCUCAUACGCGAAAAUCAUUGUCCAGGUAAGUGAUGCUUUCGUUUAAAGUUCACUAUUUGUUUAAAUGUUAUAAUUCACACCUUUCUUUUGGCAUUACGCUGACAUUGCCAUACCCGUACGAAAAUUAACCAUGUUUUUGUGGUAAAAGUGUAGUAACUACGGUUUGUGUAUCGAUUAUUUGCAAAAUGGUUUUACUAAACCAAACAUGGUUUAACUUUUUUUUUCAAAUUCAUGGUUCUUUCUUAACUUGGAACCUAUCUCUAUAUACUGCAUCUGUUGUACCUGUCUGUCCAGCUGUGUGUUUGUCUUUCUGUCUUUGUCUGCUUUGCAAUGGCCACCAGAUAUACCCCUCACAAACAGGAUCCCCACUACCAAGAGGGGAGGCUCAUGGCUCUUGAGCUGAACCAUGACCACAUUCUAGCUGAAGCCAAGAGCAGCUGUGGAGACGAAAUGUUUAUGCCCUAGAAGAGACCCUUCACAGACCUCUAAAAGGAUCUUUGUUGGCUGGGGCAAGCCGAGGGGGAGGCAAGGAGGGUGACGCCAAGCCUCAACUACAGGUCACUUUUACAGGUUGAGUGCUUCCUGUCAUCCAGUGUGGAGUUUCCACUUAACUGUACCCUCAGCAAAACUAAAUCCUCAUGAGGAAUUUGGUGCAGAGAGUGGUUCUGUGGGGACCGUGAUGUAUUACGUCACAAAAAACAGCCACUCCACAAUAGGGAAUGUGUAAUUAAUAGUUUUUUUGUAGCCAUCCGUCCAACCAAAUGCAUCAUUAAAGGGGAAGAUGGAUAUUGCACUCAACACAAGGGCGUUUUGACUUGCCUCAGCCACUGUAUGUCUGUUAAACAUGCAAACAGCAAAGGACCCCAGACCUGAAAGACCUUCUGAGGAGUGGAUAUUGGCCAGCUUCAAUAAACAACACCACACUUUACACACUGGACCUCCUGAUCUCCUUUCAAGAACUCAAGGUCAUCUCUCCAAGAUUUUCCAGACAAGCCUUCGCAAAGCUGCUGGAGCAUCGCACGAAGUGUGGAGGAAGAUUUGGAUAUAUCAACGGCGAUGCACUGCAAUGCAGCUUCUUGGAGUUUUCAUACGCUUCAUUUGAAUCAGACCAGCUCUGGUGUGGUGCUCCUUUCACCUGCCCAGCCUGAACGCUAGAAUUGUUGGCUGCUUCAGCAGAUCGAAACAGAAAGCUAUAUCGCUUUUGCCGAAACAGAAGGUGGUCUUUAUUCCAGUAUUUUUAUUGGUUUAUUUAUUUACUUUAAUUGAUGGAUUUCCUAUUUUUCUUUCUUAGCUCUGGUGUUCCUGUUUUUUGUUUUCUUUUUUGAGGGGCCUUUUGUGGCUGAAGACAGUGCGGUGUCUAGAUUUGUCAACACCAUACAAAAAGCACUGAAAAUUGACAAAAUAGUUGUUACACAAAAAAAUCUUGUUCGGAGUUGAUUUCUACUUUUGCCUACCAAGUACUCCUAAAUCAAAUUAGGAAUAAAUGCCAUAUACUGUAUUGUAUGACACCAUCACUUUAAUUUGAUUUGUUGUGUUUGUUGUGUGUUUCAUAGACUGUGGCUUGCAAAUAUUGGCCAUACUUGAAGAAAGUUGCUAGUGUCCUUCCUGAUCUUCAGGAGCUGACCUCAAUGAAACCUUUCCUUAAUGUCAUGCAUGCUUGAGCCACGCUACAACGUGUGAAAUUAAAUGAAGUGGUAGGAACCAGGAAGGAACAGGGACAACCACCGGUGAGUGGAGCAAGUGAACAGCUACCUUUCACGUUGUGCCCGUACAACCAAAUAUAUGUCCAAAGCAGCACCGGUGGACAUGCUUACAUUGCAUGCAAUGGGCUGGAACCAUAAAAAAGUAUCUCUCUACAUCAGGCACUUUCCACAAUAUAUGUGAAAACAUCCAGCACGAGACUGCAAGGCUAGCAGAACUAAAAACAAAGCUACAUUGCAAAGAUGAAGUGCCGUCACAAUGGCUUUCUGAUGUGAAAGAAUGGGCAGCUGGUGCAGCAUGCUUCGCCACCGCCUUCGAAGUAAGCUGGCAGAGGACAAAAAGCUCCUUCUUCAGGAGAUACAGAACUACAAUGAUCUUGUACUAGACUCUGCCACAAACAUCAUUGACCUAGCUUUGGUGGAGCAUUCCCUCACUGGAGAGAGCAGUGUGUCUCAGAUAUGGCCGUGCGACCUUAAUGGCAGUGCAAACAUUUCAGUCAAGAAACGAUUGCAUGACCAAGUGAUGUUGACAAUGUGACUGCAAGAGGAAAGGGGCAUUGUGGUGUUGGAGAUGGCACAAGACUACACAUGUGUGCAGAGCCUGGCAGUGGCUCUCAAGAACAAGAUGGCUGAGGAGGACAAGGGAAAUGAAGGACUUUGCUGUCUCUUAAGAAGAAGAUCGUCAGUGGUGUCAGAAGGGUUGCAAGUCGUCCUUCAACAAUACAAGACUGCAUUAGGUCUUGAGGUCUCUGUCCUUCUACAUGUUGAAGAAGAAGAUCAAAGUGACCUCAGCAGUCCAGAUACCAGCGAGGAUGAAAACAUAAUUUAGAUAGAAACUGCACAAAGGACUGCGUUUAAGGAAAUGGACUUGGCAUAUAUCUGUGUAGUGUUAGUAUGCUAACUACAUUAUUAUCUGUAUGCAUCCUAUAUUGUUGAAAUGUUCAACCUGUGUCUAGAUUAUCAAGCAUGUUAUUUAGGACGUUGAUGCUCCUUAAAUAUGCACAAACAUCUCAAUAUAGGUGUAACAAUCGUAUGAUAUUAUCAGAUGUAAUAAUUGAACUGAUGUUAUAUUUGGCUAGUGUAUUCAUAAUUUGUGUUUUUAAAGUUGCUAAUGGGCAUUGUUAGCCACAUCACAAACUCAAUGUUAAAACACUGCUUUUUGUGCUUUAUUGUGUUUAUGUACUUGCAUUGGUGCAGUAAUAUCGAUGUUAUGCAGUAAGGUCAUUGGUGUGUUUUACAAUGGCUUUGAACAGAGCUCAACCAAUCAGAAUAAUCAUUGAUAAUAAAGUAAAAGUUUUAUAACGGGUAAGUUGGUAUGAAAUAUUGUAAGCACAUUCAUCAGGAUGACUUUGCUGACCUUUUGACCUUUAUUACCACAUUUAGGCCAAACUGUGAAAACUCUACUUGAUUGAGUGUAUUAUAGGAUAUAACUGUUGUGCACCAUUGAAGAUAAACAUCAUAAAUUCUUUCUUAAAGAUGGAUAAUUUGUUGGCCAUGUGUCUGUCACUAUCAGUUCUGUUCUUAUAAGCACACUGUACAUUAAGCACUAUAGUAUGCAAAAGAAAAAUACACUACAUUUAUAUUUUAUGAUUAUACUUAUAUUGUGUAUUACUACAUUUGAUAGAUAACUUUAUUCCCCUGUUCUGCUGGUUGUUUUCAAGUGUACUUAACAGUUUAGUGUUAUUAAAUUCAGCCUUAUGGCUUGAUUGACAAAUUUGCAUUUCAUGUAUUUUCACUGCUUUUAUUGUGAAAGACAAAAAAUAAAGUGUUUCUAAACAUGAA